rnacentral:tRNA from 1 species
AUCAAUAACUCAAUCAAAAUACAAUUAUCUUCAAGAAUAAAAUAUAUGUUAUGCUUCAUAUCUUUAGUUUGAUUUGUAUCUGUCUUAAUUCUACCCUUUAUUCACAUAGUUUUUUCUUCGGAAAAUUGCCCGAGGCCUAUGCUUUUUUGAAUCCAAUUGUAGAUAUUAUGCCAGUCAUACCUGUCUUCUUUUUUCUCUUAGCUUUUGUUUGGCAAGCUGCUGUAAGUUUUCGAUGAGAUCUUUAAUUUACUAAUCUAAUCUCCUAAAAAAUUUAGGAUUUAUUCGAAAAAAAAAUUCUAACAAUUGUUAAGAUCAAAUAAGCUUUAAAGAAUGAAUUUUGUAAAUUCUUUUCGAUUUCUAGAAAGAACCUCGUUUCGUGGUAUCUAAAUAGCGUAUGAGGUAGAAAUUGGAGGAUCUAUUCUCUUUUUUCAAAAAAAAAAUUAUCUUGGAGAUUGUGCAAUGCUUACUCUCAAACUCUUUGUUUACACAGUAGUGAUAUUUUUUGUCUCUCUCUUCAUCUUUGGAUUCCUAUCUAAUGAUCCUGCGCGUAAUCCCGGGCGUGAAGAAUAAAAAGUAGCUUUUUUUAUAUUUUCUUAGGAUUUUUAUUUUAUGGUUAACUAAGAACAAAGAAUUUGCAAAAUUUGAAAAAAAAAAUCAAGUCAUCAAUGAAAACGGAAAGAGAGGGAUUCGAACCCUCGGUACGAAUAAAUCGUACAACGGAUUAGCAAUCCGACGCUUUAGUCCACUCAGCCAUCUCUCC